rnacentral:tRNA from 7 species
GGUGACGUACCCAAGUGGCUAAGGGAGGGGUCUGCAAAACCUCUAUUCGCGGGUUCGAUUCCCGCCGUCACCU